GAUGAACGCUGGCGGCGUGCCUAAUACAUGCAAGUCGAGCGAACAGACGAGGAGCUUGCUCCUCUGACGUUAGCGGCGGACGGGUGAUUAACACGUGGAUAACCUACCUAUAAGACUGGGAUAACUUCGGGAAACCGGAGCUAAUACCGGAUAAUAUAUUGAACCGCAUGGUUCAAUAGUGAAAGACGCUUUUGCUGUCACUUAUACAUGGAUCCGCGCCGCAUUAUCUAGUUGGUAAGGUAACGGCUUACCAAGGCGACGAUGCGUAGCCGACCUGAGAGGGUGCUCGGCCACACUGGAACUGAGACACGGUCCAGACUCCUACGGGAGGCAGCAGUAGGGAAUCUUCCGCAAUGGGCGAAAGCCUGACGGAGCAACGCCGCGUGAGUGAUGAAGGUCUUCGGAUCGUAACACUCUGUUAUUAGGGAAGAACAAAUGUGUAAGUAACUAUGCACGUCUUGACGGUACCUAAUCAGAAAGCCACGGCUAACUACGUG
rnacentral:rRNA from 1 species